UACGAAGGGGGCGAGCGUUGUUCGGAAUCACUGGGCGUAAAGGGCGCGUAGGCGGCCCUUCUUGUCGCGUGUGAAAGCCCCGGGCUCAACCUGGGAAUGGCGCGCGAGACGGGGGGGCUGGAGUUCGGGAGAGGAGCGUGGAAUUCCCAGUGUAGAGGUGAAAUUCGUAGAUAUUGGGAAGAACACCGGUGGCGAAGGCGGCGCUCUGGACCGAGACUGACGCUGAGGCGCGAAAGCGCGGGGAGCAAACGGG
rnacentral:rRNA from 1 species